CGUAGGGCGAAGCGUUAUCCGGAUUACUGGGUGUAAAGGAGCGUAGACGGACGGCAAGUCUGAUGUGAAAGCCCGGGCUUAACCCGGGACCUGCAUUGGAAACUGUCCAUCUUGAGUGCCGGAGAGGUAAGCGGAAUUCCUAGUGUAGCGGUGAAAUGCGUAGAUAUUAGGAGGAACACCAGUGGCGAAGGCGGCUUACUGGACGGUAACUGACGUUGAGGCUCGAAAGCGUGGGAGCAAACAGGAUU
rnacentral:rRNA from 1 species